GACGAACCACACAAACGUUAUUCGGAAUUACUGGGCUUAAAGGGUGCGUAGGCUGCGCAGAAAGUUGGGUGUGAAAUCCCUCGGCUCAACCGAGGAACUGCGCCCAAAACUACUGUGCUCGAGGGAGACAGAGGUGAGCGGAACUUAGGGUGGAGCGGUGAAAUGCGUUGAUAUCCUAAGGAACACCCGGUGGCGAAAGCGGCUCACUGGGUCUCUUCUGACGCUGAGGCACGAAAGCUAGGGUAGCGAACGGG
rnacentral:rRNA from 1 species